rnacentral:tRNA from 1 species
GCAUUUGUGGUUCAGUGGUAGAAUUCUCGCCUUCUAUGCAGGAGACCAGGGUUUGACUUCCAGCCAAUGUA